rnacentral:rRNA from 1 species
UACGAGGGGGGCGAGCGUUGUUCGGAAUUAUUGGGCGUAAAGGGUGCGUAGGCGGUUUGGCAAGUCUUAUGUGAAAUCUACAGGCUCAACUUGUAGUCUGCAUGAGAAACUGCCGGGCUUGAGUAUGGGAGAGGUGAGUGGAAUUCCUGGUGUAGCGGUGAAAUGCGUAGAUAUCAGGAGGAACACCUGUGGCGAAAGCGGCUCACUGGACCAUAACUGACGCUGAUGCACGAAAGCUAGGGGAGCAAACAGG